AGUCGAACGGCAGCACGGACUUCGGUCUGGUGGCGAGUGGCGAACGGGUGAGUAAUGUAUCGAAACGUGCCUAGUAGCGGGGGAUAACUACGCGAAAGCGCUAAUACCGCAUACGCCCUUCGGGGAAAGCGGGGGACCUUCGGGCCUCGCACUAUUAGAGCGGCCGAUAUCGGAUUAGCUAGGUUGGUGGGGUAAUGGCUCACCAAGGCGACGAUCCGUAGCUGGUUUGGAGAGGACGACCAGCCACACCAGACUGAGACACGGCCCAGACUCCUACGGGAGGCAUAUGCAGUGGGGAAUUUUGACAAUGGGGGAAACUCCUGAUCCAGCCAUCCCGCGUGUGCGAUGAAGGCCUUCGGGUUGUAAAGCACUUUUGGCAGGAAAGAAACGGCACGGAUAAUACCCCGUGCAACUGACGGUACCUGCAGAAUAAGCACCGGCUAACCACGCCAGCAGCCGCGGUAAUACGUAGGGUGCAAGCGUUAACGGAAUUACUGGGCGUAAGCGUGCGCAGGCGGUUCGGAAAGAAAGAUGUGAAAUCCCAGAGCUUAACUUUGGAACUGCAUUUUUAACUACCGAGCUAGAGUGUGUCAGAGGGAGGUGGAAUUCGCGUAGCGCAGUGAAAUGCGUAGAUAUGCGGAGGAACACCGAUGGCGAAGGCAGCUCCCGGGAUAACACUGACGCUCAUGCACGAAAGCGUGGGGAGCAAACAGGAUUAGAUACCCCGGUAGUCCACGCCCUAAACGAUGUCAACUAGCUGUUGGGGCCUUCGGGCCUUGGUAGCGCAGCUAACGCGGUGAAGUUGACCGCCUGGGGAGUACGGUCGCAAGAUUAAAACUCAAAGAAUGGAUGGGACCCGCACAAGCGGUGGAUGAUGUGAUUAAUUCGAUGCAACGAAAAACCUUACCUACCCUUGACAUGUCUGAAUCCCGAAGAGAUUUGGGAGUGCUCGCAAGAGAACCGGAACACAGGUGCUGCAUGGCUGUCGUCAGCUCGUGUCGUGAUGUUGGGUUAAGUCCCAACGAGCGCAACCCUUGUCAUUAGUUGUUACGAAAGGGCACUCUAAUGAGACUGCCGGUGACAAACCGGAGGAAGGUGGGGAUGACGUCAAGUCCUCAUGGCCCUUAUGGGUAGGGAUUCAUGCCACGUCAUACAAUGGUCGGGACAGAGGGUCGCCAACCCGCGAGGGGGAGCCAAUCCCAGAAACCCGAUCGAACUGGAUCGCAGUCUGCAACUCGACUGCGUGAAGUCGGAAUCGCUAGUAAUCGCGGAUCAGCAUGUCGCGGUGAAUACGUUCCUGGGUCUUGUACACACCGCCCGUCACACCAUGGGAGUGGGUUUUACCAGAAGUAGUUAGCCUAACCGUAAGGAGGGCGAUUACCACGGUAGGAUUCAUGACCGGGGUGAAGUCGCAACAAGGUAG
rnacentral:rRNA from 1 species